UACGAAGGGGGGCUAGCGUUGUUCGGAAUUACUGGGCGUAAAGCGUGCGCAGGCGGUUCGUUGUGUCGGCGGUGAAAGCCCCGGGCUUAACCUGGGAAUGGCCGUUGAAACUGGCGAACUGGAGUGUGGCAGAGGGGGGUGGAAUUCCGCGUGUAGCAGUGAAAUGCGUAGAGAUGCGGAGGAACACCGAUGGCGAAGGCAGCCCCCCUGGGCUAACACUGACGCUCAGGCACGAAAGCGUGGGGAGCAAACAGG
rnacentral:rRNA from 1 species